AGUGAACGCUGGCGGUAGGCCUAACACAUGCAAGUCGAACGGCAGCACAGUAAGAGCUUGCUCUUACGGGUGGCGAGUGGCGGACGGGUGAGGAAUACAUCGGAAUCUACUUUUUCGGGGGGGAUAACGUAGGGAAACUUACGCUAAUACCGCAUACGACCUACGGGUGAAAGCAGUGGAUCUUCGGACCUUGCGCGAUUGAAUGAGCCGAUGUCGGAUUAGCUAGUUGGCGGGGUAAAGGCCCACCAAGGCGACGAUCCGUAGCUGGUCUGAGAGGAUGAUCAGCCACACUGGAACUGAGACACGGUCCAGACUCCUACGGGAGGCAGCAGUGGGGAAUAUUGGACAAUGGGCGCAAGCCUGAUCCAGCCAUACCGCGUGGGUGAAGAAGGCCUUCGGGUUGUAAAGCCCUUUUGUUGGGAAAGAAAAGCAGCAGGUUAAUACCCCGCUGUUCUGACGGUACCCAAAGAAUAAGCACCGGCUAACUUCGUG
rnacentral:rRNA from 1 species